rfam:Myotis davidii contig109448, whole genome shotgun sequence.
GCUGGUGUGGCUCAGUGGAUAGAGCGUCAGCCUGUGGACUGAAGGGUCACAGGUUCAAUUCCUGUCAAGGGCA